GGUGGAAUUUGCCAGAAAUGGGUCUUCAUUGCAUGGAGUCAGAGACUCAGGGCUCUCAGCUGCCCUGACCGCACCUCCGCCCAAGCCUGAGGCAUUUUGCGCCUGAGAGGAGAGGUGACAGAGUGGGCACAGGAACCAGCCACAACCACAGGGGCUCUUGCAAAUCGCAGCACAUAACAAACAGCCCUUGCCUGGUUUGCAGACAGGUUUAUUUCUGGGAAAGUUAAAUUCAGGACUCGCUCCAUGCAAAAUUGUAAAGUAGCUGUGCGUGUCUACUGCAGAGGCCCAGCCAGAAUACUACGUGGCACUGGGGCAUCUGGAGGACAUACCUGAACCUGCAGAAGGUUGGAGCGUUCCUUACCAUACUCCGGACCUGGCCAGGUCAGAAAGUGGAGCUCUGGAAGUUAAGGAACUUGCCUGGGGCCAUGCUGCUUGCUCAUCUAAGAGGCCCUCCCCUGCAGCAGUUAAGUUUCCGGCCCCAUAAAAGCCAGAUCCACGCCGACCUGAUGGACACCAAAGGUGGAG
rnacentral:lncRNA from 1 species